GGGGCCGGGCCGGGCUCGGAUCGCGACUCCGAACGCAGGACCAGCGUCCCCCCUCGCGGAGCCCGCGGCGGCGGCGGGUUCGAGCCCCGCGGACGCCGGGACCCGACCCGACCCGACCCGACCCGGGGCCGCCCGGCCCUGCCUGCGGCGUUCUAGCAAUCACUUCUUCUUAAUCCACAAAUCCAACAACUCCCUAACAGUGCAAGCCAUACAAGAGGAAGAAGGAGAAGGAAAGAAGGAGAAGAAAAGGGGCAGAAACGCGAAAGGAACUCUGGUCCAACAAAGCGUUAGACGAUAAUGUGUUAAACACCUUUAGCUGACAUCACUCAAUCCCGACACCUGGUCUCAGUCUCUCUAAUGCUAGAAUUUCAGGUCCAGGCUUCUGACAAGAAAUUUGAUUGAACUGCAGGCUUUCCCCAGCCGGAAGAAUUUUAAGAGACCGUUUUAGGGCGUGUUGGCUAGAUGAGGAGACAGAGGUAAACAAGUAUUGUAGACUGCUUUCAAAAUAGAGGAUGAUUUAUUUUGCUAGGAACUCAUAUGGCUCAAAAAGGUAUAUGCAUUAGGUUUGAACCUUCAGCUCUGAAAUAGGGCUGGAAUUGAAUUAGGCAAGAUUUGAACUUGCCUUUGAGAUUGGGUGGUAUGCCAUAUAUAUUGUGAAGAAAUUCACUGUAAGAUAUUCACCUGCCUUUGGACAUAGCAACAGCCUCAUAUAAGCUUAGAGAUGCCAAAUCUCUCUUCCUUCAUCUUCAGUAAGAUGACUACAUUCCUUUGGAGUAUGAAGGCUGUUGGAUUUCCCUUAGAUGAAGGAUUUAAGAGUAUUUCUGCUGCUUUCUGUAUGCUACAAAAGUAUACAUUUGUAUGAGUAUGUACAAGUAUACUAUAAAGGUACUAUGGAAGUCUACUCGUGUUCAAAUUUCAAGUAACAUGGGCAUUCCUGAAGUGGCAUAAGUAAUGAAUUUCCCCUACACCGAUGCUGUGAGGCAUAACACAAGGGGAAAAUCUUGGUAACUUGGUAAGUCAAAGAAAGGCAAAUAAUAACAUAUCUUCCAUGAACAUCCCCCUCCCUAAAUGCUCAAACUGGGAAUUAAGUUCCCUGUAUCCUACCUAGCUUUUGCUACUGUUAUUCUUCCCUUUUUACGUAGGUCUACUAAUAGCAUUGCACUAUGCCAAUGAUGGAGUGGACGGAGACAGAUAAUGAAAAGAAUAGGGAUGUGGGAAUGGAUGAGGGACAAAACAUUAGGGCAGAAUUUUUUAAGACAGGAAGAUGAGUUAGAAGAAUUAGAGGAAACUAGUUGUGGUAGAAAUAAUGAGUCUAGCACUUUGAUUAAAAGGCUAUACUAACCCAAGUAGGAAUAGAAAUAACCAAUUGGUCACCAUGUGACAUCCCAAGGGUAAUAUUUGAAUUUUCUCCCACUCUCACCUCCUUCAAAAUCCAGUCAAGGUAUUUGGGGAAGAUGUUUUCCCACCCUCCAAUGUAUAUUCAUGACCACAGAAACUUCAUUUUCUGUUUGACUUCCAUCAUUUUAGAAAUUUAAUUUCUAAUAGUUUUCUAUUUCAUUUCUAAAUUUUACAACUGUUCUGUAAAUUUUAUGACUUUUAUUUGUUUUGUUUUAUUUCUAGUAGCUUUCAACUCCUCUUCCUAUAACAGGAUGGAUGAGCUUUGAGAUACAGUGCCUAAAUCAAUCCCAAUGACCUCAGUCAUUCAUCCAAGUUGGAGUAAAACAACACUACUCAAAAGUACAGAUCUCCAACCAGCAUUGGUCCCAAACCUUGUUACUGAUCUUAAAUGAGAUUAGCAUAGACAUUGGCAACAAUUGAUUAAAAAGUUUCAUAGAGGGGCGCCUGGGUGGUUCAGUCUGUUAAGUGGCUGACUCAAUUUCUGCUCAGGUCAUGACCCCAGGGUCAUGAUCUCAGAGUCAGGAGAUUGAGUCCAGCAUGGGCUAUAUGCUGGGCAUGGAGCCUACUUAAGAUUCUCUCCCUGCCUGUCCCUCUCUCUUCUCUCCCUCUCUCUAAAAGAAAAAAAAAAUAUAUUAAAAAAAAAUCUUGUAGAAACUUAAACAUGUUAAGUCUGUUAAAGUUAAUAAUAAAAACAAUUGGGUUUAUAUUUUGUUAUUGUUUUUAUUUCAUGAUGUUUUUUAGUAAUUUUUAUUGAAUUUUACAAAAGUCUCAUAGAUUUGGAAUUCACCAUAGAUAAUUUGAGAGGCACUGGAGGAGAAAAUAGACUAUAUACCAAAGAUUAUCUCUCAAAAAAAAAAAAAAUGCUUUCCAUCCAUUUUGACAAAUGCUUGAAAUCUUCAAUAAAGCUUUGAUGCUAUACUCUUAAAAUUUUCUAUAAUGUAAGAUUGCAUAAGAAUCAGUCCUUUUUAUCACAUGGUCUAUCAUUACCUGUGCUAUUCAUUUAUUCAACAAGUAACUAUUAACUUUAGCUUCAGGGUUGUCCUGGGUAUUGGUUGCAUAGUGAUAAAGAAAGUGGAUAUCAUCUCUGCCCUCACUGAGCUUACAGUAUCAUGAGGAAGACAGAAAAAAAAUAUUUGUCAAAUGGGAAGGAUUAUUUACAAAAGCAGACGGGGUGCUGAGAUAAGGAAGAAUGAUGGAACUGGAAAGGAAAAGGACACUAAUGCGAGGGAAUAACUCAGGAAGGACUUACUAAGGAGGUAACAUUUAAACCGAACCCACAAGAUGAAAAGGAGAUAGCCAUGA
rnacentral:lncRNA from 1 species